GCUGAAAACGCUUAUCGACUGUGGCGAUUGUCCUUUCCCCCUCAUUCUCGAACCCUAAUGCCUUUCGUUUAAGUCCUUUCGUUCCCUCUCCCCUUCUCGAACCCUAAUCACUCAUUGAAUGUCUUUCAUUCACGAAGUGAAAUCUCUGAAUCGCAGUAAUGAAGCUUCAAUCGCUCUCACAAAGCUUCAAUAUCUCAUUCACUGAUUCUAUUUAUCAAUUCGAAGCUGUCGACAUGUUCUAAUUCUAUUUCUCAAUCGCAAUCUCUUAGUUUCGAUAAGUUUUCUAAUUUACAAUUAUCCUUCAAUCUACACUUGUUUUCAUGUAUUGGGUUUUUGUGAUUAGUGUUUUCAAGGUGAAAUUUGUGUUUUUUAGGUUAUUGGGUGAUGUGUUUUUAAUUUGGGGUUUCCUUGGAUUUGGUAAAUUGUUUA
rnacentral:lncRNA from 1 species